CAACAGCAAAUAGGAAAACACAACGAAAUGAACCUCUUACGGAAAGGGUAGGACCCUAUAAGCAGAGGACGGACCCUUCUGAUUGGACAGGCGGACUGUCUGUCAACAGGAAAUGAGGACUCGCUCGCUUGCUAGACCUUCAUUCCGCGCGAAAAUACGGCGAAAAAAAGAAUGUUUGUCGUCAAAAGUUGUUGGCGAACCAACCGAUUUUUUGCAGUGGUUGUGGACAGAUACUUGGAAAAAGUCUGGAGUCUUUGGCUCAACCCACCGAUGGACCAACUUCAAUUAAUCUUGGCUUGAUGACUGCUCAGAAGGGUGUUUUAAAGCCCUCACGUGGGAAAACCAUUCCCUUAUCAACCGUCUCUGACAUCACCGCUCAAAGUCUUCUUCAUCACAGUGUGAAGAAAAUGAGGGACUUUAACCAAGACCUGGGUGAAGGAGCCUUCAUCCUUCUGUAUCCAGAUGCAUCUGAAGUCAUCAAUACCCCUGGGACACAAAGACCUUUUAUUCUAGAAAAAUAUAAAGCAGAAUUAGGCAAACCAUAUUCAAGGAUCACAAUUUUUAUCUGCCCAAAGACGGUCUUUGAAGAAGUUGGAAAAGUGUCUGACAUUUCUGACUCUGACACAGAGAUUGUGAUAAAAAGAGCCCUCACAACAUUUGAGCUAGCUGACACGUUGCCAUGUGAACCUGUGCAUGAAAGCAGUGCAAUACAGACGAAUACAGAGGAUAUCCGUCCAAGUACCUCCGGAUGUCCUCGAAUGGCGAGAACAUAUUACAGCAACUACACAGACCUGUAUGCGCCUAUCGUCAGUGAUGACGACGACGAUGAAGAUGAAGUUCUAACUGUCAAAGAAAAUAAUGAGGCAUCUCCUAGAACCAAUCAAAGUCAACAGAUUCCACGUGUCCAGAUCUAAUGUAUGGGAUGGUGCUGUCAGAGGUUUUCAGCGUUGCACGUACUCCGAGGAGAAUGACAUGUUUGUGAAGUUUACCGAUGAAGAAGGCCUAGAUACCGGCGGGCCGAGGCGGGAAUUCCUCACGCUUCUGAUGAAUGAUCUGAUCUUUAACGGACCUCCAGCAAGCCGUUACCUGGUGUACAACUCUACAGGUGUCUGUUUUUCAUGGAAUUUCUUUUUUUUUGUCCAAAUAUUUUGAUGAAAGUAUUAUUUUUGUUGUACAUUAAGUCACACUUUCUGCCAAAUUUAAGCACUUUAAAAUAAGGGUUAAGGCUGGACACGACCCCUUUAGUCUUGUUAAACUUUCUGGCCAUAGUCCCAUGAUUUACCACUUGAAUGCUUUAAAAGUGACUGCAGAUUAGAUUGUGUGACAUUCACAAAUGGUAAAGCAUGUUCAGUGAAAAGCUUGUUUGUGGGUUGAGUGUUUUGACAGUGAAGUAGCUCUUACUGAUAGUCAGAGAUUUAAGGUUGAAACAUAUUAUGUCAUCAUUGACAGACUUUGUUUGUGCCCAUCGAAGCCUACACACAUGCGUGUGACUUCUUUGGAGUUUGAUUUGAGGGGGACUGCAAUGAUUGUGAUGUGCGUGAAAGCGCUGCUAAGCUGUGCUCCACUUAUCCGACAGAUCUGGAUAGUUCCUUCUCAGACAAACUUAUUCAGUUCAAGCACUUGACUUCACCUGUACAUCUUCUGCAAGCUCUUGAGAGACAUGGACUUAAGACAACAUUUCCAAAUGUUUAUGUUGCAAUAAGCAUGUUUUUAACCUUGCCUUUGUCUAACUGUGAGAGGUCGUUUUCUGUUUUGAAACGAGUUAAAAAUGAGCUGAGGACCACAAUGUCACAGACACGGCUCUCUGCACGUCGAACAUGAACUUGUUAGUGCCCUUGAUAUUGUACACCAGUUUGCAGAAAAGUCCAGAAAAUGCCACUGUAAGAUGUGUUUGCCAAAUGAAACCAAGCAUUUCAAAUUUAAACAUGCACUUUCCCAUUAUUUAGGAUUAAAAUUGUGUAUGUUGACACAUUAUGUCGCAUUUCUGUAAAUUGUUUAUUGUUGAGAAAAAACAGGCAGAUUUCAAAAUGUUUAUAUUGCACUAUAACUUGAUUGUCCUUGUCCGUGGACUUCCUCUGUGAUGGAUCCAUCAGUUCAAUACAUUUGUGUUGGGAAUAGGUGGUGUUAAAUAAAUAUGGAUG
ensembl:lncRNA